GGCAAGUGAUGUCUGUUCUCACGAUGGUCUUCAGAUGUCCUCUAGGGCACUGCUGAGACAGCCAGUUGACAAAGCUGAUGCCAUAAA
rnacentral:snoRNA from 7 species